CGGCCCGUCGAGGGAGCUGAGAGCAGCUCCACUGGCCCGACCCCGCGGGAUGAGAAGACAGCUUGGCUCCCCGCAGGGGCCGUCGGAAAAUACCCCUGGGGUUGGUCUGCGACCAUGACGAGCGACCCUAUUGGCCCAAUACCGGGAAGCGAGGCGGAGCUUCCUCUUCUCCGAGCCCCACCUGGGCUUUCAGCCCGCCUCAGGACUGUGCGCCUGCGCGAAGUGCACUGGCUGUGAGCUGGACCUGGGCUGUCUUGUGUAUUUGGAGUUGGACAGCCAACUACGUGACUGCAGCCGGGACUGGGGACGAUGGAAGCGGACUGGGUAGUACCUGUUGAGCCUAACAAAGGGUACAACCCCAGAGUACUGGUGCUUGAGCAAGGAAUCCCCCUGCUCACCUUUCAUGUGCAAGUCCUGUUUGAAAAUCAGUACUUCACAGUGUAAUAAAAUUCACCUGGCAUUUA
rnacentral:lncRNA from 10 species